GAUGAACGCUGGCGGCGUGCCUAAUACAUGCCAGUCGAGCGAACGGACGAGAAGCUUGCUUCUCUGAUGUUAGCGGCGGACGGGUGAGUAACACGUGGAUAACCUACCUAUAAGACUGGGAUAACUUCGGGAAACCGGAGCUAAUACCGGAUAAUAUUUUGAACCGCAUGGUUCAAAAGUGAAAGACGGUCUUGCUGUCACUUAUAGAUGGAUCCGCGCUGCAUUAGCUAGUUGGUAAGGUAACGGCUUACCAAGGCAACGAUGCAUAGCCGACCUGAGAGGGUGAUCGGCCACACUGGAGCUGAGACACGGUCCAGACUCCUACGGGAGGCAGCAGUAGGGAAUCUUCCGCAAUGGGCGAAAGCCUGACGGAGCAACGCCGCGUGAGUGAUGAAGGUCUUCGGAUCGUAAAACUCUGUUAUUAAGGAAGAACAUAUGUGUAAGUAACUGUGCACAUCUUGACGGUACCUAAUCAGAAAGCCACGGCUAACUACGU
rnacentral:rRNA from 1 species